AUGGGGAGGGAGUAGGGUGGAUUGUGAGCUUGGGGUUAAUAGAUACAAACUAUUGCCUUUGGAAUGGGUUAGCAACGAGAUCCUACUCUGUAGCAUAGGGAACUAUGUCUAGUCACUUAUGAUGUAGCAUGAGAAUGUGAGAAAAUAGAAUGUGUACAUGUACGUGUAACUGAGUCACCAUGCUGUACAGUAGAAAAAAAAUUGUAUUGGGGAAAAAAAAUAAGAGUAGCAAGACAUUCAUGGGUUUUACAAAGAUUUCCUAUUUAAACUGUGAUGGAAAAUCAAAGUGUUUAACUAGAAUUAUACAUUAGAUUCUUUAAAGGGUAGAAGGCUUACACUAUCAUAACAGGUUAGGAUAUUUAAUAGAGUUAUGUCUUUAGGAUAAGGAUCAAUCCAUUUACUCAUUAAUUUACUCCUCCAACAGUGCACAAGUCUGGUCUAGACACGUCAGGAAAUGAGGCUCAUGUGGUGUUGUCUCCACAUUCCUUACCUUCUACAGAGGGGAGGCAGAGUCAACCAGGAUGUAAUCCUUGAACGCCAUCAUGGGGAUUCAGAAGCCUGGCGAAGGUUAAGAACCGGUGGGUAUAACGAAGUUGAACUUCAGAAGCAUAAUGCUAAGUGAAAGAAGCGGACACAAGAGACCAGUAACGGUAUGAUUCUGUUUCUAUGAUGCUCUAGCAGUGGCAGAAUUGUAGAGACAGAAAUAAGAUCAGUCACAGGCAGGGCCAGAGAACUGGGGAAGGGCAUUACUGCAAAGGGGCAGAGAGGAAUGUUUUGGGGUGAAAAAUGUUUGAUAGACUGAUUUGUUAAUACUCACCUGCAUGCUUCAAAAGGUAAAAUUAACUCUAUGUAAAUUAUACCUCAAUUUAAAAAAGAACUGGUAGCCUAGGUCCUCAAUAGUCACUGUUUUGAUGGUGAUGAUGAAGUAACAGGAGGAAGGCAGCAGGAUUUUGCAACAAUUUCCAAAUGUUGUAUUUUUUGGAUGAGGACCAGCUUGCAACUCCUGAAGCAUUACCAGAUAGAUAGCUGUGAAUCCAUCCUUUGAAAUGUGCACAUUAAAAUGAAUGCAUUUGACAUGCUUUUAGUUCCAGAUGUUCAGGUAAGCAUGCUGAGUGGGGUUUGCUGACUCUUUCUUUACUAAUGAAGAGUAAAUAACAGAUGAUUGGAAAGAGUGUCAGUCUGGGGAUAAACACGGGGAGUGUUUUCAAGCCGAGUUAUCCAAACUCCCUGAGGCUUUGAAGAAAACAAUCGCAGAGAAGUGGAGGCUCUUGGGAACUUCUUCCUGAG
rnacentral:lncRNA from 1 species